AAGCGUGACGGCGCGUCAGUCUCCAGCGUGGUCUAAAUAUAGAGCUGUCAGUUUGUAAAACAAGUCCACGGGGGAGGGAGAUCCUUAUUUCCUGAAGGUCGUUAACUGACAACAGUGACAGGGUGAAGAAUGGACGCUGACAUCACUGGUCUCCGACCGCCAAGCAUCUGUGGCAUACCACAUUAUCAGUCAGCCAAAAGUGCGAUGCGCCUGGUGUUUUACAUCGUGCACUGUGUGUGCAUUACUUUUUUCCUCCUGCUUCAAAGAUACUGCAAAUGUGGUAAACAUGGUGCACAUUUCACCUCCUGGCUGUGGGCGAUAUCGGCAACCAAUUCGAAUACGGAAGACGACCCUCGCGACCAAAAGAUCCCGUAAGCUCUCGUUUCCGCAGGGCGAGCGAUUGGGGACUGGAAAAGUAAAGAAACCCGUCCUGUGUGGUGCAUGUCCGACCUUUGGAUCAGACACUGGCGACCACGAUUCACCUCAGGGAGGCGGCGUGCGGAGAAGCCAGCUGGAGCAUGACUACAGGGGACCACAACUCGGACUGAUUGAGGCUUUAACGCCGCACUACACGGCUGUUAAAAAACCCACUGCUGCUUCAGAGAGAUUGCGCCUGUUGCAGCAGAUUCCCCAUAAACCAAAUGAGGCUUCAGUCCACUCACACGGUGCUGUUAUGAGAUGGGAGGUUCUGACAUUUCAGGGCUCUCAGGGAACAGGGAUGAAACACUUUGAUCCACAAACACUGUUUAGAGGUUUGGACCAGUUUCCCACAACUUCGAGGCAGCCAUUGGUUUCCAUUAACUGUAGUACUCAACAGAUAGUCUUCAGCUUUCUUCAAAGUGGGCACAAAUGUGAAUGAAGAUCAACAAGCUGCGUGCUAUUUGAUCUUCUUUUGUUUUGUGCACCAAAUGGGCAAAGGCCUGAACAUUAUGGUCACCAUUGAUGCACCUGUGUGUUUACAUGAGGACAAACAGCAGAAAAAAGCUUUUUACUGCCAUCACCUUUGU